CGCAAAAUGCAUAAACGCUUUUCCCCCUCCCGCUUGAGCCCUCUCUCCCUCUGAGUUUGUCUUCCCCUCCGGUUUGAGUCUCGAGCCCUAUCUCCCUCUCUUCUCCUACACGCAGAGUAUGUCUUCCUUUCUCGUCUGAGCCUCGAGCCCUCUCUCACUUCCUUAGCCCUCUCUCACUCUCUCAGUUUUGUAGCCCUCUCUCUCUCUAAACCCAAUCUGUAAUUCAAUUCCAUAUUGGAGGAAACUACUACGUCCAAAUCUGUGACUUGAAGACAUACAUACGUGCGUGCGUGUUUAGCUCAUCUCCAAAACCCUACAUCAUGAUAAGUUUUUGCAUAGCCUCAAUCUUUUUGGUUACCCAGUAUAGUGACUGUGUUGAAGUUGGGUUUUCUGAGUAGAAGAGAGACAUUGAGUUUGUGUUUAAUUUUAUGUAUGGAAGUUGUUUUCUCUUAAUCGUUUCUUGAAUGUAACUAUGUUUUUUGGUUCUGCCCGUCAACUGUUUGAUGGAAUUACUGAGUGAAAUGGACAUUGUGUGUGUCCAUGGUUGUGCCAAUCACGAUCUGUGUUCUGGUUUGGAAACCGUAGAAGAGAAGUGUAUUGUCCUGUAAUACUUUUUUUCUAGGUACUUUCCGUCUCAUUCAACCUAACUUUUUCUUUUCUUUUUGGCUUGAAGCAAGUAUACAAUUAGCCCUCCUUCUCUACCAUAAGCGAACAAUCUUGGUUUUGGAAUGACGACCUCUUUAUGCUAGGCUGAUUAUGAAGACGACUCCUUGUGAAAAUACCUAUUCGUCCAAUCAGAUGCCACAUACAGUUUCUAAACAUGCAAAAUUGGCUCCAGAUCAGUAGUGAAUUAUUGAGAAAAAUAAUAAUUUUGUGCAUAUAUAUGAAACUAAUCAGCAACCUUUACAUACCUUUAAAUAUAUAUAUAUAUAAUUUAUCCAAUGACUACUUAGGAAACAAACAAUAUAUAUGUAUAUAAUAUAAGUAUCAAAAUUUAAUUUUGAUUUACUUUGAAGGUCUAGCUAGCAAAUAUAAGGUCUUCAUUGUCUAAUAAAUUGCUGCCACUCCUUUGUUCCAUUGUGUAUAUUUUUGAGUUGUUCUUACUGAGAUUAUACUGGGACGUUGUGUGUAUUACCGUACUUUGAGGAUAUUUAUGUCUUGGCAGAUUAUUAACAAUGUUUAGGCUAUUUUUUAAUUCUUUUGUACUUAAAGCUAGCCUUAUAGGUCGUGUUUGAAUGAGCGCUUUCCAACAUGAAUAGAGCUAUUUUUUUAAUUAGAUAGUAGAACCAUGAAGUUGAUCAAUUUUAUUAUUAUUAUUUUUUUCUGCCAGCCACAACAUUUGCCUUAUGUAAGGAUUUCAAGAAAUAUCAAGGAAUGUAACUUCUAUUGUAUAAUCUUAUAUAAAGUUGAAUUGUAUAUAUUGGGGUCUUUUUAUGAAGUGAUUUAUAAAGCUGGGACAUAGAAAUAUGUAUAUGAAUAUUCUUAAAAAGGUGUAUGCUUUUGUAUACCUCUAGUGUACUUGGGCUAUGCCUAUCCUUUUAUCAAUGAAAUAUCAUAUUACUUAUCAAAAAAAAAAAUAUGUAUAUGAAUAAUGAUAUAUAUAUUUAUUUUGUCUUUUAAGGAUUUUUGGUCUGCAAGUUUAUGGCAUGACAAAUGCAUACAAAGACCAUUCAGCCUAUGCCCUUUCACCAUCUAUAUCUAUAGAUGGCUCUGUUAGAUUGUAGUCAAUACUUGUCUGGUUUUCAUAUCCUGGACAUCCAUUCCACUUUUGUUUAUGUAACCCUUAUUGCCCCAUUCUUGAGCUAAUUAAACUUUAGUGCCACAGAUAAGGGGUAUUUGUUGCACAUCAGAUCACUUCCUAGGUAUUUCUUUGAGUGCAUCUAUAAUUGGUUUUCGUGCAUCAAAUUUCUGAUUAAUGCAUGUAUAAAUUUCUAAGUUGUUGUGUAGCCACUUAUUUAUAUUGGCACCCUUAUUUGGCAUAUGAUCCUUUAUUAGACUUGUUUCUUUUCUUUUAGCAUUUACACAAUUAUACAUUUCUUGUUGCAUGUCUUUUCAACAAGGGGUCAUGUACAUUUUAUAAAUUUGUUUCUUGCUUGUUGACUAUAUAACUGCACAGUGCAAACAGUAUGUGCCAUGACAAAAACAUGACUUUUCGUUGAAAGUCUAUCUUUCUUAUCCAAAAGAAAAAUGCCAUCCAUGUACUUUGCAUCAAGACUAGCUACCAGGUUCUUGAUCUGGCGCAAUUAUUCUGUAUGAGUACAGUGUUUAUUACAAUUUGGUAAACUUUGGCAUUAACUAUUUUCAUUGUCUCGUUUACAUCACCUAUGGAAUCGAGUCAAUCAUCAUCAUGUGUAGUUGAUGCGUUGCAAAUGGAAUCACCAACCUGUUGGUGUGGCUGGAAAGCCCCCUUAAAGGCCUCUCACACUAGCAAACAUCCUGGAAGGAAAUUUUAUGCUUGCUCGAAGUACAACAUGGGAGAAGCAAAGUACCAAUUCUUCAUAUGGGCAGAUAUACUUCAACGAGUAGAGAGAAAAUUUGCACAAGAGAGAAUGCAGUUCGAAAAAGGGAGGACGAUUUAUUGUUGUGCGAGUAUGAAGUCU